GUCCUGAGAAAUCUCGACAAAGUAAUUGAUUGUUUGAUUGUCAAUAUCUUUUAGAUAAGUAAUAUUUAUAUUUUAUAAUAAUCAAUCAGAUUCAAUUGAGAAUUAUCUUAUCCCAUUGAAAUGAUAUAAAUUAUUGUAAGUACAUCUAGAUUUAAUUGUGUAUGAAAUUGUUGUGUAUCAUUUUCUUGACACGAUACAAAUGG
rnacentral:lncRNA from 1 species